CAGCAGCCGCGGUAAAACGAAGGGUGCAAGCGUUACUCGGAAUUACUGGGCGUAAAGCGUGCGUAGGUGGUGGUUUAAGUCCGUUGUGAAAGCCCUGGGCUCAACCUGGGAAUUGCAGUGGAUACUGGGUCACUAGAGUGUGGUAGAGGAUAGUGGAAUUUCCGGUGUAGCAGUGAAAUGCGUAGAGAUCGGAAGGAACAUCUGUGGCGAAGGCGACUAUCUGGGCCAACACUGACACUGAGGCACGAAAGCGUGGGGAGCAAACAGGAUUAGAUACCCGAGUAGUCCCUGUCUCUUAUAC
rnacentral:rRNA from 1 species